rnacentral:rRNA from 1 species
UAAGGAAUAUUGGUCAAUGGACGCAAGUCUGAACCAGCCAUGCCGCGUGAAGGAUGAAGGUCCUCUGGAUUGUAAACUUCUUUUAUCUGGGACGAAAACGGGAUUUUUAUCUCAAUUGACGGUACCAGAGGAAUAAGCACCGGCUAACUCCGUGCCAGCAGCCGCGGUAAUACAGAGGGUGCAGGCGUUAAUCGGAAUUACUGGGCGUAAAGGGCGCGUAGGUGGUUAAUUAAGUCAGAUGUGAAAUCCCCGGGCUUAACCUGGGAAUUUCAUUUUAAACUGUUUGGCUAGAGUACGGGAGAGGGAAGUGGAAUUUCCGGUGUAGCGGUGAAAUGCGUAGAUAUCGGAAGGAACACCAGUGGCGAAGGCGACUUCCUGGCCCGUUACUGACACUGAGGCGCGAAAGCGUGGGGAGCGAACA